AUAAUUUAAACACAAAAAUAUAUCAUCUAAUAUAAUAUUUAAAAACAUUAUUUAUAUCUUAUGAUUAACUUCAAAACUAAUAAAUAAUUCAAGAGGUGAGACUGAAUUAAAAUAUAUAUUUUACUAUAAAUAUACAUAUAUAUAUAUAUAUAUAUAUAUUGGCAUAUUAUCAAAUAAUUACAAAAACAUCUUAAAUGGCAUGAACCAAUUAUAUAGACAAAGAAACAUAUCCAAACCAAAGUUGAAAUGUUUAGCAUAACUAGUCAGUUUAAAUUGUUAUUAUCAUUGAAUAAUUAAUUUUAUAUAAUUUUAUUUUUUGUUUACAUAAAUGCUAAAUUAAUUUUAAUAUCUAAUCAUAUUUUAGCAUAAUUAGAAUUUAAAUUGUUAAUUUUUGGAUUUUUUUUUAAAGAUCUUUUUUAGAUUUUUUAAAAGAAUAUUCAGCUGUAUUUCAAAUAAAAAUGUAAAGAUAUUGAAAGAUAUUAAAAUUUUAUACAGUUUCUAAGAAAUGGUCCAAAUAAAAAAAAUCACACAUAAGAAAAAUGGACUUCUAUUUUAAUAGAUAAGAUGUGGAGAAUAUGGUAAUAACGUUGACAUUUUUUCAACAAAAAAAAACUAUAUUCUUUGAUAGCUCAUAUGACUUUUUCAGGUUACUGCAUGUGAUUAAAUUAAGAUUUGAACAAUAUAUUUACUUUGACCAAAUUUACAAAAUAACUUAAUUGGUCAAAUAUAUAAAUGAAUAUCCCAAAUUUGCAUGUAUCGAAUAGAAGAUCAAUUAAAAUCAAAUCAAAUAGAAAUGGAAAUUUGUGAUUUUCCACGACUAAAACUUAUAUAAAUAGAGCUUUUCUACAAGACAUGAAAAAUUAAGGAUAUUUCUCUUGCUAGAUAUUUUAUACAUAAGAAAGAUUAUGGCGAAGACACAAAAUUUGGUGAUUUUUUCUCUUGUUGUGAUAUUAGCAGCUACAAUAUUUAACACCAACAUUUUGGUUUCAGGUGUGGAGCAGGAGAAUAAAAUCAAGUAUACUUACUGCGCUAAGACUUUAUGCUCGGACAGCUACUUACCUCAUAUGUGCUUUUUUGAUUGUACUACUAAAGGGUUUGAAACCGGAACUUGUAUAGUUCCUACUCCUAAUACUCCCUUAAGAUGUUGUUGUGGUACCUUGUAGCCAUCAUCUACCUAAUAUAAUCUGCCUAAUAUAAUAAAAUGAUUUAAGAGCUUCGUUUUU